GCGCCCGUGGUGUAGUGGUAACACAAAAGCCUUCCAAGCUUUGGUCACCGGUUCGAACCCGGUCGGGCGCU
rnacentral:tRNA from 1 species